rnacentral:lncRNA from 1 species
AUAUGAUGACCGAGGCUGCAGAGUCACAAGCUGUUUCUCCAUUUAAGGUCCAAACUGAGAAGACUGGACAAAAGCUGAGCCAGAUGGAGGACACUGAUAUAAGGCAGGACCACUUAUCUGUCACUCCUGUCUGGCCACAUAGAGUAAGCCAGCUCUGGAUGUAUUUUACAAUUCACCUUCAUUCUACCAGUAACAGAGAGAGGCUCCAUGAGGCCUUGUUCCUUCAGACAUAAGCAGCUAUAUGAUGACAAAUGGACUGUGAAUGCUGAUAACUGAAAUGAUACCAAGUCACAGCCUCCCAAUGAAGUGAGAAGUUAAGAUUGAAACAUUUGGAUUUCUAGAGCUCCGGGACCACCUUGUCAGAUCACAAAUCAAGGGUUAAUCUCUGCAGCAAAUGAUAUUUAGAUUCUACUAUAUUUAUCUUGGAACGCUAGGACGUAAGCCCACGGAAGGUGGAUACUAACCUUUCUCAACCGCCAUACUGUCUGGUAAGAUGAGCAGCUCAUAUCACAGCCGAGACUAGUGAUAUCAUUUGCAGAGCUCAGAACAAGAUAAACUUGUAGCAUCUAUAUUCAGAAAGCAAGCGAAGAGCACUAUUUCAGGGAUACCUUAUUACUUACAAAGUGUAAAUUUUAUUACACUUUAUUAAUAUUAAAUAUUAUAUAUUUUUAUUAAUAGUGAUGAAUAUUACUAUUAAUAGUGAUGCAUGAGUAAUAACAUCCUUACACAUUGAGGAAACAAGGU